UCUGGAGGGUUAAGAAAGCGGAGUCUGUAAAGGGAGGUUCCGCUGAUACCACCCUCCUAUAGAAAAUGUAUGGUAAGAGAGCAGCCGUGCUUCCAGGUGGGGUCAGGGCUGACUGCUCCAUACAACAUUU